AGUGGCGGACGGGUGAGUAAUGUCUGGGAAACUGCCUGAUGGAGGGGGAUAACUACUGGAAACGGUAGCUAAUACCGCAUAACGUCGCAAGACCAAAGAGGGGGACCUUCGGGCCUCUUGCCAUCGGAUGUGCCCAGAUGGGAUUAGCUAGUAGGUGGGGUAACGGCUCACCUAGGCGACGAUCCCUAGCUGGUCUGAGAGGAUGACCAGCCACACUGGAACUGAGACACGGUCCAGACUCCUACGGGAGGCAGCAGUGGGGAAUAUUGCACAAUGGGCGCAAGCCUGAUGCAGCCAUGCCGCGUGUAUGAAGAAGGCCUUCGGGUUGUAAAGUACUUUCAGCGGGGAGGAA
rnacentral:rRNA from 1 species